rnacentral:rRNA from 1 species
UACGUAGGGGGCUAGCGUUGUCCGGAAUCAUUGGGCGUAAAGAGCGUGUAGGCGGUCCGGUAAGUCCGUUGUGAAAGUCAGGGGCUCAACCCUUGAAUGCCGGCGGAUACUGUCGGGCUAGAGUCCGGAAGAGGCAAGUGGAAUUCCCGGUGUAGCGGUGAAAUGCGCAGAUAUCGGGAGGAACACCUAUGGCGAAGGCAGCUCGCUGGGACGUUACUGACGCUGAGGAGCGAAAGCGUGGGGAGCAAACAGG